rnacentral:rRNA from 1 species
CAGUAGCCGCGGGAAUACAGAGGGUGCAAGCGUUAAUCGGAAUUACUGGGCGUAAAGCGCGCGUAGGUGGUUUGUUAAGUUGGAUGUGAAAUCCCCGGGCUCAACCUGGGAACUGCAUCCAAAACUGGCAAGCUAGAGUAUGGUAGAGGGUGGUGGAAUUUCCUGUGUAGCGGUGAAAUGCGUAGAUAUAGGAAGGAACACCAGUGGCGAAGGCGACCACCUGGACUGAUACUGACACUGAGGUGCGAAAGCGUGGGGAGCAAACAGGAUUAGAUACCCCAGUAGUCCCUGUCUCUUAUAC